UUGACACAAAAGCUCACCGGAAGAAAGGAUCAGCACCACCAUUUAGUCUUUGCCCUGUGAAGAUUUGUGGCAGCAAGGUUUUCCGGCUAGCAUUGUCCAGCAUCUGCAUCUUCUAGCCGUGUAUCCAUAGGGGCAACAUUGUACUGGAGUAAAGAUUUGUGGCAGCAAGGUUUUCCGGCUAGCAUUGUCCAGCAUCUGCAUCUUCUAGCUGUGUAUCCACAGGGGCAACAUUGUACUGGAGUAAAGGUUAGAAAUUUCAUAUCUGAUAUAGCUUAAUAUGAAUAAAUGCUAUUUGGUGUAGGAUAACUGAUUCAGAGGAGGUAAUUGUGUUUAAAACGUGGGAUUUAACCUAAGUUUGGGUUAGAUCCGAUUCAUGAUUUUAACAAGAGGGUUCGUUGAUUUUGUUGGAUUGAUUAGUUGGAUCCAAUUUAGAACUUCUUAAAUUGGAUUAGAAUUUAUUUUGGCUAAAUGUGGUAUGAUAGAAUUAGCUAAACUAGACCUUAUGUUUAA